CUUAGCAACCGAACUCCUGCCUUGUGCACUGUGCAUGUUAACUAAAACAGCCUGUUGACGGCUUAAAAUAAACCUGCCUUUUUCCAUUUAGCAUUUUAUCAAAUGAAUGUAAUUUUGUUUGCUGAUGAAUUUAGUUCAGCUUCAAGGAGAUUUUUCUCUUCUUCCUGGGGAGGCUGGAGAAUCAGAAUUGUCAUGCCAAAGGAUGAAAAACAAGCCUAGGGAGAAAAGACAGGCUGAUGUGGAUGUGGGUAAUUAUUGCAGCCUGAUUAUAAAACUUGGGAUUCGGUGCCUAUGGUGAGUCUAAAUAUGGAUUAAGCCAUUAAGAAUCCCCCGCUUGUAAUAUACUACUACUUUAUAUAAAGAAUGACCCCAAUCAUAGAUUCUUACAGGUAUUUAGACGAGAAUUUAAGACUACAGGGAAAAGCAGUGACUUUGUCCCACCACAAACAAAUCAAUCUGUGAUUUGUGAAUUGAGACUUCCCCAGAGAGAUUUAGGCAAUUAAGAAUUGGAAGCCCUUAAUUAGAGGGGAAAAGACUUUCAGCUAUGGUGGAUGGAGAAAUGGGUGAGUUCCAGAAGGGUGCUCGGUGCUUCAAGAGUGGGGUACUUGAAACAAUGUAACUUCUAAAGCAGUGUGGAACAGCUUAUUACGAAACUUUAAUCAUAACCACAGCUUCCUGGAGUUUGCUCCUCUUGUACUCUGAUCUCAGUGGCUGGUUUCUUUGGCUGUGGUUUUGAUGGAGUCUUUGAGUAAAUGGCCCCCUCUUUCCCCCAGUGGCACUAAACGGGGCAUUGCAGACACAACACCUUCCAGACCUUACACUGGGUUUUGCCAUAAGGAUAGCUUUUGUAAUCCACCAUAAGCAAAGGAAAAUGACUUCUACACGCCUCUGCAAGAAUUCAUUCCACAUGAGCUCUCCCAUGUUGACUGAGGGGUUUUAUGACACACUUUUCUAUAUAGAAUGGCCUCUAAAUCCCAAAUCCUUCCUGUUUUUAAACAUUGGAGUUUGAAUUUUUCCAAACAACUAUCCAAAUUUUAACCUCCAGUUUAAUUUUUUUAAAUGUCACUGUGAGUUCCUUGAUUGCACUAUAAGUCUACAGGUACUGAACACGGUAUGAACACAAGGCCCUCAAUCAAGACGGGGUCACCGUGAAGCAGGUAUAAUUUGUGGUUUGGAAUUUAGCAAGCAAAUAAAUAAGAAAAAACGGGAAAGUAAGACAACACUAGGUAUUUCAAUGUGAAGACUUCAAAUUAAAGACUGUACUUGGCAUACUCGUGAUGUAUUUAAUUAUAAAUAUAAACCCAAAAGUAAAGCUGAAUGAGUGUGUCUGGAAGAGUUAAUUUGUGGCAAAGCAAAAAUUAACAUUUUUUCCAAAGUAAUCCAGAAAAUAGAAUAAAUCUAAAUAUCCUAGGCUAAAAGCAAAAUUCUCUGUGGUCUACCGGAAGAUAAAGGUGAGCUGAUAUUUCCAGCGUAUGUAUCAUGUUUCCAGCCUUUCUCUACCCCCUGGAUGCCUCUCCAAUAGCUUUCUAAAGUGAUCAAGAACUGCUACAGGCUUGCCUAAGUUUAUUUCCCUGACAUUCUUAUUUUAUGUGUUACACUGCAGGCAUCUUGCCUACUUUCUUGCCUACAGGGAAUAAUUUUUAUCUAAGUGUUAACAUUAGUGACUUGAGCAUAGUAUUUCCUGAAUAUUUUUAUCCCCCUAUUUUAAAAGGUCAUCCAUUACCUUGAUGCUGUUUCCUGAACUGGUGUUUUUCAUGCUGUUUGCAAUAAUUUUCAGAAGGCAAAAAUCUUAAAGGCAUACAAGGAUGCUUCCUUGAAACAGAAUUUUCAAAGAGCUGUUUCUUGGAGCUGUUGCUGGGGGUUUAAAACGAGAAUGUUCUACCCGGGAAAGCCUGCGAUGUGUGAAUAGGACAUAUUUUACCACUGUGGGUAUGUUCAAAUUUCCCCCAAAUAUUUUUGUCUUCUUUUCAUUCCUUUUCUUACAUUUCAUAAGAAAUUAUUUAUGUACUCCGAUUUUUUAUUUUUUUAUUGUUCCUUGCUGUCAGCGCACAUAAAUAUAUGAUUUCAGGAUGCUUUCUGGUUGGACUCCUGAGAGAUUGCAACAUCAAACAGGUUUAUUUAGGCCUGUGCUAAGCAGAACCGCAGGAAGCUAGCAAAGGCUGUUAGCAGAAGCCAAGAGGAAAUCUUUAAAAACGUGAUGAGCUAUGUCACACUCACAGAGGACACAAAGAAAUUGCAUUUUUUGCACCUCCACAGAUAGCCUCAGUAGGUAGCAGGAUGCUGGGAAGCCAAGUACUUAAGGAGGAUCCAUGCCGCAGCACAGAGGGAGAGAGAUGCCUGGGCUGCCCAGCCCGCAUCACCAAUGACAGAGUAGGAACACCGCCCCCAGCCUCAAGCUGUUCCUGCAGCUUGGGAACUCCGCAAAGCUAGCUGUGGGGAAGAGGUGUGUGUGUGUGUGUGUGUGUGUGUGUGUGUGUGUGUGUGUGUGUGUGUGUGUGUGUGUGUGUUUAAACUGAAGAGAGAUGCCACCCUUUAGUUCAUGGGUAUUGUAGUUAUUAGAUCCAAAGACAAACUCAGCUGCUAUUUUUAAAAAAGGAAGAAGAAAGAAAGAAAGGAAGGAAAAAAGAAAGAAAAGAAAAGAAAAAGAGAAUUGCUUCAGGGUUAGUCCUUCCCCCUGAUAGCUGUUCACACUGAUUUGCUGCAUAGAUUGAUUGCUUUUGGCAUUUGCACCCUUCCUGAACAACGGGGAAAGAAAAUCCAGUGUCUGGGCCAAAUUCAAGAAUGAUGAAUGAAUGUGGAAGACACAUUCGGUGUCAUGCUGAGUUGCGAUGGAUAACAGCACUUAAAAGUAGUAACAGCUGGAUUUUAGUUUUUAAAAUUAGGACUGUGUUAUUAAUGGGGGAAUUGGGAUGCAGGGAGUCUGCAAGGCAGAUUAAACGCUUAUCUGAAAUGAACGGGCUUUAUGCUCUGUCUUGGGAGGGUGGCAGGCAGGUGGAUGUGAGGGGAGGCUCUGGCCCUACCCGAGGACUUUUACUGAACCAAACCACGGCUCUCUGCUGUAUCCCACCACUGGGGCAUGCUAACUGGAGCAGCAUAAAAUGGCUUUUGUAUUUAUUGUGGGGAUUUUGAAAGUGUAUUGUCUAAUAAAUCUCACACUGUCUUCAUGAAGAUAUCAAGGAGAUAUUCCACACAGACUUUAGGGACAGGGAAAGCUAUGUUCUCCAGAGAACUGAUGCUAUUUCUCCUUUAUAGACACUGAAUCUUGUGACUGGCAGGGUUUUCUGCUGGCUGAGCCCUAGUGAAGCAAUUGGUUGAAUGUAAAGUCAGACUAAGACCUCCAGGGGAUAUUGGUACUUAAUGCUUUUGUCGAUGGCUUAAUUUGCUGUCUUAUUUUUACUUCAAGUUUAGUUUUACGUCUUUUUUAUCUUUUAAUAAGUAUUUUAUUUUAUAUGGAUAUAGAUACUAAAUUUAUCUACUUUUAGUAUGAUAUGUAUAUGGGUGCUAUCAAAAUAGGAACUAUUUUCUUUUGGGGGAGGGGCAGAAUCUUGGGAUCUUAUUUAUUCCAAGCUAGUCUCAAAUUCUAUAUAUAUAAGUAGCUGAGGAUAACCUGGAUCUCAUGAGUGCCCUACCUCAUAUAUUUUCUUUUAAAUAGUGAAUUGUUAUUUAGAAAUAUACUAAUGUAGUAGAGUAAUUAUUAGGCAAACUUUAUUGAUUUUAAAGAGAUGCACAUAGAAGCACAGAUGGAAAUAUAAUGACACGGGGCUGUGGUCUGCGUUUAAAUAUCUCUUGAACAACAAGAAAGACAGGUGAAAAUGGGAAGAUUUAGGGGACUGGGAAAAUCUCAGUGGGUUUCACUUUACCAUUUCACUAACUUCUGCAUGCAUUAGAAUUUUAAUUAGUGUCUGUCUCUCUUCUUGACUUCCACAGGAGGACACAAAACUCAUUCUUAACUUGACAAUUCAAUUUCCGUCAGAAAAUACGUUAUUUGUUAGUUGCUCAUCUAUUGUUCUGAAAGUGGCUUGGCUGUUUGAUUUUCCUCCCCUUUCCUUCUUAGUUGCCAUGUUAGGUCAUAAACUCUAGGACAGACUGGGAGCAGCAAGUCUGCAAUGGGAGGCUGAGCAAGGUGUGCAAGGUGCGAGCAGAGGGGCCCAUGGAUGUGACUCUCCUCUGCUGCCCGUCACCUCUGGACUUCUAUUGCUCUCCACCAGAGCCAGACUCCGGAAUUCAGGCCUGAGCGCCUCACACUCGCACAUUUUCAUGUACACACACACACUCACACAAACAAAUUUUAUUUUAUAUAACUAUAUAAUAUGUAAUUUUGUUUUGUAUAUGUGUGUGUGUAUGUAUAUGUAUAUGUAAUUACACUUUUACAAAUGCCGUUGAUACUCCUGAGUUCGAUUAUAUAUGCAUUAUAAUAUAUAUAUAUGUAUAUACAUAUAUACAUAUAUAUAUAUUAUAAUUACACUUUUACAAAUGCCGUUGAUACUCCUGAGUUCGAUUACUCUCGGACUCCAUGUGUUUCUAGUAAUUUUGCUUGCCAAGACUUAUGAUUUGAACAGAGUUUGAGUACUAAAAAAAGAGCGAAUUGAUAAAAUUAUAGAGUUUGAAAAGUCUGUUGUGGCUACUAAGCUGUCUGCCAUGAGAAACGGUUUCAGAGAGUAUUGUCUGACAACUGGUGGAAACAAAGUAGUAAAAUAACAUCUGCUCUCUCCCCAUCUCACACUGAUUCGGCGGCUGGAGAAGGGUGGGAGUGGUGUGUGCGCCCUGGCCCGUGUUUUAUGCCUGGAGGAGCACCAGGGGCCUCAUGUCUCCAAGUGAUGCCAUGAAACACUCAAGCUUUAUUCUUCUGGUCCUGGCACUUUACUCCAGCACACCAGGUGGUCAAGAAGUAUCUGCAAUGAAACUAAAUAAAAAAUAAACUAGAACAUUUUUUUUUCAAAA